UGGGCCUUUUCUGCAAUGGCUCCCUGUUUUUGGAAUGCUCUUCCCAGGGAGGCUCAUCUGGCGACAUCAUUAUAUAUUUUUAGGCACCAGGCAAACUUUCCUCUGUAACCAGUCCUUUGACUCUCUAUGGCCUUUUAGAACUUGUUGGAGGCACAGAAAAACAAAGUUGCAGGACUGCAGCACCAACAGUACUUAGUCAUCUCAUAGACAAACAAUGUAUGCUACCACGGUAAGGAAUAUUUAUAUUUUCAUAUGUCCUUUUUGUUAAAGUCCUUUUUGUUAAAGUCACAUGGAUUUGAAAAAAGGGGCAGUAAAUCGGAUGAGGACAGGCAGUGUCAAAGAAGAUCCAUGCUUUAAAAAAAAUGUUAUCAUCAUCACAACAGAGGGAAGAAGCAGAAGGAAACUUACCUGGUUCCUGUGAUCCCAUUGAGAAUUUCUUUCUUUCUUUCUUUCUUUCUUUCUUUCUUUCUUUCUUUCUUUCUUUCUUUCUUUCCUUCUUUCCUUCUUUCCUUCUUUCCUUCUUUCCUUCUUUCCUUCUUUCCUUCUUUCCUUCUUUCUUUCUUCAGAACUGAUGCAAAACUGGGUAUCCACAGAUUAUGAGCACCAAAUCGAAGCAGUCCACAUGUCUAAAGCACACAGAGUGACCAGAGGAGGGCAAAUUCUUGAGAGUGAGCUCAGUUUAGUCAGUCUGGGAUUUUCAUAAGGAAGCAAAAGAAGGAAGUCCUCCUCUGACCGUAAAAAGUAAUAAUGGCAAUAAAAUCUCUGCCCCUUUCUCCUACCCACCCAUGUACAACUCUGGGUAUCUUUGCCUAUCCAAGGAAGAAGGUAUGUUAGAUGGACUUCUAGUUUUAGUACCACAAAGAAACCUUUCUAAAAAAUGUAGUGGACGUGGGGAGGGAAGGUUGGCACACAAUGCCAGAGUUUAGGGCUCAUCCACACUUACUUUUUGCUCCACUCUUUCCAGGCAGAAUCCCACAUUUUAACACUUUGUAUGAGCAAAAGCUUACAUGUUUGCGUAUCGGGCUGCAGUGCUAUUAAAUGUAAAAGAUCAGGGCCAGCUGAAAAUGUGGUCAUCCUAAAACUAGUCCAUCCUACGAUCGUGGAUAAUCUGAUAAGUUUGAGAAAGUAAGUAACCUGAAGAUGGUUCAUUAAUUUUCAGAGCCAGUUUGUGCUGCCUUUGAUUAAAUCUGAAAGUAUGCAAACACCCACAACCUCCUCUCUCUGUCUCUCUCCCCCCUCUCUCUCACACACAGACACACAGUUGCCACUUUUGCAACUGGGAUUCUAAUAGCUGCAUGAUGUCAUCAAGACCUCCAUCAAGUGCAGCUUUCAUACUUAUCCAGCUAAAUAUGCUGUUAGAUCACAGCAUUUAUCCCCAGCUGGCUUUCUCGUUUCCCAUCGAAGCUCUAACAACCCUAUUUGAAUUGCUCCUCCAUACACCCCACAGUCCAAUACAAACAAGAGCUGUGAGCUUUAUAACCUGACCUGGUUGUGCUUUAUGGAAUAGCUUCAAGGACACCUUGCCAUAAAUAUUUAGCAACUUGCAGAGUCCCCUGGAAACCUGCAUUUCCUGCUAACACAAACCACCCAGCCCACUUCCUGAGCUGUGCUAGCAUGUGUGAAACCGCACCACUCAGUCACACAACACAGAACCAAGCAUCACCUUCUGUUCCCUGCUCUACACUCCAAUGGCAAGAAACUGAGGCCAGCAUUGUAAAACCAAAGAUGCGCCAAUGAUCCUGUUUUUUAGUUAGUGUAUUCGGAAGAUUAUACAUUUGAUAGUUUGUCACACAUGCAUAUUGUUGCAGGCCACCCCAACCUCUGAGGGGUGUGAAAUUCCAGGGUCUGGCUUUCUUGAAAUGAGGGACAGCAGAGACUGUGGUGUUUUUAUGAUAUAUGGUUUAUUUACACAUAUAUACAAUCUGAGACCAUGCUCACAGCAUUAAUACCCCUAGAGGGUCUUGCUCAUAGGUUGGCAACGUCUGGCCCAUGGGCUGGAUGCAGCCCACAGAGGCUGUUUAUCUGGCUCACAAGCUGCCCGGUCACUGAGCCGCCCGCUCUGCAAGUCCACUGCGCACUGCACUAAACCGGCGCAGUGCAGCGUGGGGACUUGCCAAGUGGUGCCGGAAAUCACUUCUGCGCAUGCCCAGAUGCGAUUUUCGGGUUCCGGACAUGCGCAGAAGUGAUUUCCAGAGCCCCGGACAUGGGCAGUGCAGUGCCGGAAAUCGCUUCUGCGCAUGUCCGGUGCAUGUCCGGCCCACGGACGAUCGUCCAUGGGAAUGAUCCAGCCCAUGGCCAGAAAACGUUGCUGAUGCCUAGUCUUCCUUCUCCCAUAGCCUCAGCUUUGGAUUUUAGCAGAAAUCAAGCAUGGCUCUCUGGCUUCUGUCUGCUUCUAGCCCAGCUCACACACUUUCAACUCUGGCUAUUGUUGUUUGCACUACCAGCCAAAGGAGCAGAGGUAGAUUUAGGGCAGCACGACCUAGCUCAGUUGGUUAGAGCAUGGUACUCCUAAUGCCAGAGAAUGUCUAAGAUGGGGAUAAAGAACCUGUGGCCUUCAAGAAGUCACUGAACGCCAGCUCCCAUCACCCCUGCCCUUUAGUCACACUGGCUGGAGGCUGAUGGGAGUUGUAGUUCUCAGCAGGGUCACAGUGGUUUCCCACGCUAGUGUAGGAAGUGAGAUCCCCACCCCACCCCAUGCCCUAUGCUCCAGUGUUGAAACAGUGAACUGCUUCUGCAUUCUAAAACAAAAAUCCUUAUUCAGGUUCCUGUCAUCUUUAUUUAGCUACUUUCCACUGUGCAAUGAAUAAACUCCAAGAUUCUGCACGAUCUUUUGAGGAAGGGGGAGGGGGAGGAAGACUCUGUCGGUUUCAUCCAUCCCUUUGUGCUACUUGCUUUGCCGUCAUUUUUCUCUAUGUUUGAACUAUGCCUUGUAACUGUCAUCAAUAGGCCAAAUGCACAGGAAUAGUGGAAGGCAUCAGCUGGGGAAAACCCCAAGAGAAGAAGGCUCAGAGUGGUGGUGGGACGACGAUGAAGGAGAAGAGGGAGAAGACUGGGAGGAGAAGGCGUUGGAAGCUGAAGAGGCAACAGGAUUAAGUGAGAAGGGAGAGUCUGGGGCAGAGAGAAAUACAAAAUCAGAAAUGGAAGCAGGCGUGGAGGAAGGCCAAGAGGCAGAGAUGAGUCGGGCUGGUGAAGAAGCCAGGGUGUCGCCCCCUCCUGCUCCGAAAAGCUCCCCAUCCCCCAAGUCUCCCAGGACCAGGAGAGGCAUAAAGUGGGAGAAGCAAAGGCAGGCAUGCUGGUGUAGUCUCAGAUUGCUUGGGAAAAUCCCUGGAGAGGAGGGGACUUAGGCAGCUGUGGGAAGGGUGUGGGAGAUCUUUUGUCUCUGCCACAGCCUCAUGGGGCAAGACCUACUGAAAAAGAGUUGCUGUGCUCAUCUAUCAUUUGUCCUAGCAUUCCUGUGCAAAUUCUGUUUUUCUAAUAAAGAUUUAACUUCUCCAUUGAUCUGUCCUGAACCUUCCAACUUUCAGCUUCAUGUCCAUGAGUUAGUGUUAUGAGAGAGGGACAAAAAAUUCUUUAUCCUCUUUCCCCGUGACUCACAAAUUGUGCUAACUUUUAUCAUGUCACCUCUUACUUGUCUAUUCUCUAAACUGAAAAGCCCCAAAUGCUGCAAUUUCUCCUUGCAUAGGAGUUGUGCCAUCUGCUGGAAAAUUUUGGCUGCCUGCAUUUGGCUUUCACAUUUUUGCAAACCAGUCUUGCAGAGGGGCCCCCUCUUGUUGUGGUCCUCUUUCCCACAGAGGCGUGAGGGUAACACAAUGACACAAAUAGAAAUGCACAUGAAAAUGGAAUAUGAAUGUUCCGUAACGUAACCGGCCUUAGUGAAUGAAGUUUUCCUAUUGUUUUGAUCUUCGUGUGAUCAUUGCUUGCAUUUUGCAUUCUAUGGGUUUUGUAAACCACCCACAAAGCUUGGUUGGAAGGUAAAUCUGACAACAUAAAAUAGUGUUUUGUUUGGAAAAGAGGAAUUAUUUUGUUACAUGGAAGAUGGAGCAAGCUUUACUUCUGCUCCAGAGGCUACAAACCAAACCAAUGGCUUCAAGUUACAAGAAAGGAGAUUCCAACUGAGCAACAGGAAGAACUUUUUGACAGUAAGAGCUGUUCAACAGAGUGGAAUGCAGUCCCUCAGAAGGUGGUGGAAUUUCCUUCCUUGAAAGUUUCUAAGCAGAUUUGGAUGGCCAUCUGUCAUGUGCAAUUACGGUAGUUGAGAUUAUUGGAUUGCAGGGGUUUGGACUAGAUGACCCUCAGGUUCCUUUCCAAUUCUACAAUUCUACGAUUCCAGGAUCCUGCUCCUGUAACUUUUCAAGCAGCUUGAUUUGUGGACAUUUGGAGCUGAUGGCAUUUACCUCUGCACAAUUAAAAGCUUUACCUGGUUUAUUUUUGCCCAUCAAGCUGUUCACAGAAAGGACAGAGAGUUCACCGAGGAGGUGCUUUCCUCCCUGGCCAGCUGAUAACAUUUGUAGGUAGAAUAAGUCAUGUGAUUUCCAAGCUGAAGAACUGAGGGGUUUUAUGGUGUUUGUGUGGAAGAGGAAUGACCCAGAUUUCACCACACUUUGAGACACACAACUGCAUUAGUCAUCCAUGAACAAACCUCGUAUUCCUGGCACUCAUGUGUACUCACUUCAAUAGGAACAGCCGCUUCCUUGUUUGAAAGCAAACUUUCCCUGCCAUGCCGCUACUCUCCAUUAAGGAACCAGGCCAAAUUGAAAGCAAGCAGUCCCCAUAAUUAAAUCAUUAUCUCUGUACUUGUGUUUUUCCUGUUUGUGGAGAGAGAGAGAUUCCUGUAUGCAGAUAUAAGUGGGGAAACAUUUACCUAUUGAAUUUCUGCUUGUCUCACAGGUGUUAAAAGGCCCAGGCACAACCUUAAAAUGCAAGGAAUGAUUGAGAGACAGGGUGGUUAAAGAAGGGAGGAUGGAAUAGACACUGGGCUAGGAAAAUGGUGCGUUGUGGAGCUGGAGGGAAAAAAGGUUGAGUGGAGAUUGUGAGAUGUGCCCCAAAGGUUGCAUACGGUAGGUCCCAGUGACAGUGGGACUGGAAGGCUGUGUGCAAUAGGCUGGGAAGAAGUGGGUGAGCAAGGGAGCUUUUGAAGGCUGUGGACUAUGGGGCAGAAAGCAAAAAGAGAUUAUUACCAACUCUAGAUCCUAAAAUAGGGUUGCCAUCUUUCAAACAGUGAAAAUACGGACAGAAAAAUUGUUGAGCUUUAAAAUUGCAAUAAAAAUUGCAGUUUUUGAGCUAUAGUCGUUUGUACCUUGGAAGUUGAACAGAAUCUGUUCCAGAAGUCCGUUAAACUUCCAAAACGUUUGAAAACUCCAGUGUGGCUUCUGAUUGGCUGCAGGAAGCUCCUGCAGCCAAUCAGAAGCCACGGAAGCCCAAAAGUUUGGAAGCUUCCAAAAAUCGUUCGAAAACCAGAACACUCACUUCCGGGUUUUGAUCGUUUUGGAGCCAAUUUGUUCAGGAGCCGAGGCAUUCACGAUCCAAGGUAUGACUGUAUUUUUAUGGGAAAUUGACAAAAAUGGCACUGCCAACAUGAGCUGUCAUACUGCCAUAUGUCCGGAUUUUCCCGCACAUUUUGCAGAUUUCUGCCCAGACACUGCUGCCGACUGCAGUAUUCUGGAUAUGUCUGGGAAAUUCUGGAUGUAUGACAAAAAGGAUUCCUAUACUGUACUUUUAGGCAUAGAUUUCUGCCGAUGGUGAAAAAGCUCAAAAAGGUUCAGAAAAGGCACCCAAACUGAUUAAGAAGCAGGAGUAACUCUGGGGAGGCUAUAAAGUUUUGGGAUUUUUAGUUCAGAAAAAGUUGAGCAAGGGAUGGACACUGCAGAGGUUUAUAAAAAUGAAGCAUGGUAUGAUGAGAAGGUGGAUGAAGAGUAGCUUUUCUCCUUCGCUCAUAAAGCUAGAAUGAAAAGUUAUCCAAUAAAGUUGAAUGAUGGGAGAUUCAGAACAGACAAAACGGAGUACUUCUUCAUACAGUGCAGUUAAACAAUGCAGAUUUCACUUCCACUCAAUGUGACAAUGGCUAUAAAUUUAUAUGGCUUUAAAAAGGAGGACAGACAAAUUUGUGGAAGGCUAACCAUGACUAUUAGUAAUUAUGGCUGCAUACUACCUCUAGUAUCAGAGGCAGCAUGCCUCAAAAUACCAGUCACUGAGGAACACCACUGGACUGGGAUAGGGACCCGCCCCCUCAUGUCCUCUCUGUGAGCUUUUGAGAGACAUAGUUGGCCCUCUGGGAAGCAGGAUGCUGUACAAGAUCUAGAAAGGCUCUUCUGAAGACAAUGAAUUCCUAACAGAGGGGCAAUGAGAACCAUGACAUAAAGUGAAUAUCAAGUUCCUUGGGGAAGAGACCUGCCUUUUUUUGGUUCUCUGUAAAGCACCAUGUAGGUGUGAUGAUAGUGGGUUAUGGUAACAACUGCUUGCUGUUCAUAUAAUGACUUCAGUGCUGCAUUUUUAUUGUGCAAAAGAUUGUCUUGUAUUACUGAUUGCUUCAGUUUUUCCAAGCCACUUUGGAGGCAUGCUACAGAAAAGUGGGUAUAAAUAAUAAAUAUAAUUUCUAAAGUAUUAUUUUUUAAAUUCACGAUUUAGACAGUUCUUUGGCUGCAGGCAGGCUACCAACUAUGUACGGCUACGCUAUGCUUCCAGCAUAUGGCUGCAUGUAAAUGCGCAUAUACUUUUAUAGUUCAUAUAAACACAAACAUUGAUAGGGUUUGACAGGCCCUAGGCAGUCACUGACCCCUUUUCUUUGUUCUCAUAUUACACAAGGCCUUCAUUGAUGCAAACCUAAAGAUCACAUGGCAAUAACCUCUAUUGAAAUGAAUUCCUUUUUGUUGAGUAACUAUAACUGAGGUUCGGGGGUGUUAAUUUUCCUAAACUACAAGUAUCCAUUCCAUCUGUACAAGAGCGUUAUCUUUGAUUCCAGAGAGCCCAGUUUCCUCCCUUGAAGAAACAUAAAUGGUUGCAAAUUCUCUUUAUCACUUGAGCUUAUUUGUGAAGGAGGUUGAACACUGGCCUCACAUGACGCUGAGUCAUCAUCUCAGCCACAUCCCCAGUUCUCAGAACCUGUCCGCCUCCUGUUUAAAGGGACAAGCUACACUCCAAGCUCACUGUGGAAAACAGAUACCAAGCAUGCCCUUGCCACUGGUCCUUGUAGCCACCAUCUUACUAUUGACUGGUUUUGAUGAAGGCGGGCAGCUAUGUACUCCUCAGCAGGUUGGAUUUGGCCCCGGACCCUUCAGUUAAUGAUUCCUAGCCUAGGAGUACAAAUAUAGGUGAGCAAGUGAGCUAUGUUCGUUUUGCUGUGAACAUUGAUUCUUCUUCUAAUAUCUCCCAACUGUUCUCCUUUAUUCUUCAAAGGGAUCUUUCUUGGUUUAUUACUGUGCCCUUCACAGCAGGUGUGGAGAACCUGUGGCCCUCCAGAUGUCACUGAAUGAUAGCUCCCAUCAGCCCCAGCAAUCAUGGCCAAUUGCCAGGGACAAUGGGAGUUGUGGUCCAGCAACAUCUGGUGGACCAAUGGUUCCCCACACCCACUAAAAGAGGUUACAACAGUGGUGUAGGAGGUAUGUUUCCAUAGUUUCAUCCCAUAAUAUUGGCGUAAUGUUUAAAGGCCCAGCACAACGAGGCCAUGUGCAGGUCCUUCUCACAGAAUUGUUGCCCAUCUGGGACCAGAGUGGACACUGAGUUGAAUCAUUCAAAAUGUUGAAUGAUUAUCAAGCUUGAGGGACUGACUGUAUGAAGGCCGUGAUGCUUACUAAUACACUGCUUUCUUUCGCAGCUGGAAAGGUUCUGGUUUCUCAAUAGGCAAGAGAGAGGAAGGAAGGAGGCUAGUACAAAAGCAGCUGGUUUGCACCCUGGAGUACAGAUGUCAAGGCCUGGGGGAAAAGGGGAAAUUAGGCAAAAAAACCCUGCCUCAUAACUCUCAUCCGGGGUGACUCAGUCAGAGCCCUGACACUGGAGCAAGACGAAAUGGGUGUCUGCUCUGUAAUUCUGAGGAGCAGAGAGGAGUUGCCCAACACAUAGACGAUCAGAGGGAAUCAUAGCAGUGUUUUCAGGAAAGUUUUUCAUUUUCCUGUUUUGUUUUUUAAACGGCAUGGUGGCCAGUGCUGAAAUGGCAUCCUUGCUUCAAAAAUGCAACACCAAAGGAAAACGUGAGAAAUCGGUUACAACUCUUGUGUUUAUUACAUGAAAAUGCACUGUAAGAAUCUCUGUAAGCUACGGGUUACUGCACUUAUGGAAUCAACUACCACCAUUAGUAGUAUCAUCAUUUAUCUAUAGGUGGCUGAGGGCUAUCCCUGUACACUGCUUUUCCUGUGCAGACAUAAUAUUUUUGUACCGAAAACAUUUUCAGUCAAGCAAGCAAGCAAGCAAGCAAGCAAGCAAGCAAGCAAGCAAGCAAGCAAGCAAGCAAACAUCCCUUCAUGGAACAAUUACCAAGGGGGAUGAGAUACGUGCUAAAAGAACUGUGUUAAGAAUAAGCUGUACUUUCAUAGUUUGAUAAUAGACACAACUUU